rnacentral:lncRNA from 1 species
AUCGGCAGAGGAGAUUGACGAUUCAUCCGUGAUAAUCGAUGAAGAUCUUCACUUCUUGAGACUACCACGAACACCAGGGCGACCCUUGGAUGUAUCCGCGACGGGUGCGAGCACGGCAUGGAGGUUAGUUAUCUUUGAUUCAUCAUACGGAAGCUUAGGGUGCUUCGAUUCAUGGUGGAUCUGCAUCGUUUUAACAUCCGGUACAGUGAUCUUGCAGAGAGGGCAUUCGAACUUAGCGUGACCUCCCUUCUCCUGACCGGUCCGAUCAGCAACUCCGGCCUUGCCGCCGCCUCUGUUGGUCGUGGCCGCGUCCACUUUCGCCUGGAUUUCCUUCGCCGUAUGCUUCUUCGGCUUC